UUUCCGUAGGUGAACCUGCGGAAGGAUCAUUAUUGAAUGAAACAUUUCUGGCUUUUUGCUGUUGAGCUGGCCCUUUGGGCAAUGUGCACAUGGCACAGGUUACUUGAUUCUUUUGUUCAACCUUUGUACUGUCUGUUGACAAGCUGUGUCUAUGAUAUUUGUUAAUAUAUAACAAUGUUAGUUGGCAAGUUAUAAAUAAUAAUAAAAUAUAUAACUUUUAAUAACGGACCUCUUGGCUCUCGCAUCGAUGAAUAAUGCAGCAGUUCGGAAGAGGACACG
rnacentral:misc_RNA from 1 species